CUUUGGAGAGCCUUUACUCCCUUCAGGGGAAAGGAUCGAGGCCCUUCCGAUGUGGCCUUUUCUUGAGUCUCCAGCCCCAUCUCUUACCACUCCUCCCAACACAGAGGUAUGCACAGACGAUAUGCAAGCACACAGGAGAUCAUCUAAAUGAGACUUGAGCAGAGAGUGAUUAAGGAAGACUUCCUGGAGGAGAUGAGGAAGCCAAGACCCAGUGGUUGAAGUACCUUGCCCAGAGCACACAGUCUUGACAGGCAGUGGAAGCAGAACAGAACCAAGCUGGUUUGGUACCAGUCUGUGAGUUUUCAGCUGUGUGCACUAGUAUAAAAGAUGUGCUUUACCAGUCUGUGAGUUUUCAGUUGUGUGCACUAGUAUAAAAGAUGUGCUUUACCAGUCUGUGAGUUUUCAG
rnacentral:lncRNA from 1 species